CCUACGGGAGGCAGCAGUGGGGAAUAUUGGACAAUGGGCGCAAGCCUGAUCCAGCCAUGCCGCGUGGAUGAUGAAGGCCCUAGGGUUGUAAAGUCCUUUCGGCGGGGAAGAUAAUGACGGUACCCGCAGAAGAAGCCCCGGCUAACUUCGUGCCAGCAGCCGCGGUAAUACGAAGGGGGCUAGCGUUGCUCGGAAUCACUGGGCGUAAAGCGCACGUAGGCGGACUCUUAAGUCGGUGGUGAAAUCCUGGAGCUCAACUCCAGAACUGCCUUCGAUACUGAGAGUCUCGAGUCCGGGAGAGGUGAGUGGAACUGCGAGUGUAGAGGUGAAAUUCGUAGAUAUUCGCAAGAACACCAGUGGCGAAGGCGGCUCACUGGCCCGGUACUGACGCUGAGGUGCGAAAGCGUGGGGAGCAAACAGGAUUAGAUACCCUAGUAGUC
rnacentral:rRNA from 1 species